GGCAUAAGGGAGCUUGACUGCGAGACCUACAAGUCGAGCAGGGUCGAAAGACGGACUUAGUGAUCCGGUGGUUCCGCAUGGAAGGGCCAUCGCUCAACGGAUAAAAGCUACCCCGGGGAUAACAGGCUUAUCUCCCCCAAGAGUUCACAUCGACGGGGAGGUUUGGCACCUCGAUGUCGGCUCAUCGCAUCCUGGGGCUGUAGUCGGUCCCAAGGGUUGGGCUGUUCGCCCAUUAAAGCGGUACGCGAGCUGGGUUCAGAACGUCGUGAGACAGUUCGGUCCCUAUCCGUCGUGGGCGUAGGAAAUUUGAGAGGAGCUGUCCUUAGUACGAGAGGACCGGGAUGGACAUACCUCUGGUGUACCAGUUGUCGUGCCAACGGCAUAGCUGGGUAGCUAUGUGUGGACGGGAUAAGUGCUGAAAGCAUCUAAGCAUGAAGCCCCCCUCAAGAUGAGAUUUCCCAACUUCG
rnacentral:rRNA from 1 species